GUGCGCACUUUUGCAGCACAUGUAUUAACAGCAGAACAGUACAGAGAAGAGCAUGGCUCCUGUGCAAGAAUGACAGAAAAAUUCAUGAGGUUUCUCUAUGUUUU